rnacentral:ncRNA from 2 species
ACCAAACGACAGGGGAGCGCCUCUAGCGCUGAGAGUGCGGCACAGCCGCAGACCCUUACUACCUGAUCUGGGUAAUGCCAGCGAAGGAAGUCGUGGGAACCGCCAC